rnacentral:rRNA from 1 species
CCUACGGGAGGCAGCAGCCGCGGUAAUACGGAGGGUGCAAGCGUUAUCCGGAUUCACUGGGUUUAAAGGGUGCGUAGGCGGGUAGGUAAGUCAGUGGUGAAAUCCUGGAGCUCAACUCCAGAACUGCCAUUGAUACUAUCUAUCUUGAAUAUUGUGGAGGUAAGCGGAAUAUGUCAUGUAGCGGUGAAAUGCUUAGAUAUGACAUAGAACACCCAUUGCGAAGGCAGCUUACUACGCAUAUAUUGACGCUGAGGCACGAAAGCGUGGGGAUCAAACAGGAUUAGAUACCCUGGUAGUCCACGCCCUAAACUAUGGAUACUCGACAUAUGCGAUACACUGUAUGUGUCUGAGCGAAAGCAUUAAGUAUCCCACCUGGGAAGUACGUUCGCAAGAAUGAAACUCAAAUGAAUUGACGG